GACGUAGGAUGCGAGCGUUGUCCGGAAUUAUUGGGCGUAAAGAGCUCGUAGGCGGUCUGUCGCGUCUGCUGUGAAAACUCAGGGCUUAACCCUGAGCUUGCAGUGGGUACGGGCAGACUAGAGUGCGGUAGGGGAGACUGGAAUUCCUGGUGUAGCGGUGAAAUGCGCAGAUAUCAGGAGGAACACCGGUGGCGAAGGCGGGUCUCUGGGCCGUAACUGACGCUGAGGAGCGAAAGCAUGGGGAGCGAACAGG
rnacentral:rRNA from 1 species